GAAAAUAAAAUUUGUACCACAGAGGAGCAAUUGGUUUCCGCAAGUUCGAAGAUGAAACUUGACACUGAAUGGUAAACGUCCGUUGAUGCCUCCGCUGACCGCUUCUUCAUUCAGACGUUACCACAUAACGGCGCUUCAUGCUCACACAAUGCAUUGCGUCUUUAAAAAAUACGGUUAAAACGCCUGUAAAAAAAUAUUACGGAAAAUUCCUUCACAUUAACACGGUACAUUGUGACGAAUAUUUACGGACUUUUCUUACAGUGUAGCGCUGCUGCAGCAGUCUUUGAUAUGGGAGCUAGGGAGGCUGCAACUUACUCAAUAGCCGGUUUGGGGAAAGUAGCCGUUGACUGAGGGCCUCCUGAUCCUGGGAAUGCAGCCACGGAUUGGGGUUAAGGGACAUCUCCAUAUGACGCAGCUCCACUUUAACUUUCCCCAUAAGAGAGCGGGAUUCGUCUCCGAGUUUUGAAUAAGAAUGGGGUGGCUCCUGGUUCUAGACGGAUUACAUAUGGCUGUCGUACUUCUCCCAGACUGUUGCACAAUUUUGGCGCCACAAGCCCAAGCUUUGUGAUAGCUGGUCGUCCCAGAAGUGCAGAAAUUUCUGAUAACAUAUACAUCUUCCUUUGACUGUUUGCCCCCUCUCUUUAGCAGAAGCCUGGCAACUCCAACUACAUCCAUAGGAACUUGCCCUGGCCAUUACAACAGCCUUGUUCCUCUGACUGUUUGACCUCUCUCUUUACAGAAGCCUGGCAAAUCCCACUACAUCCAUAGGAACUUGCACCUGGCCCUAACAACGGCCUUGUUCCUCGGACUGUUUGACCCCUCUAUUUAGCAGAAGCCUGGCAUAUACAUCCACAGGGGUGUAAUUUCCACUGGGGAAAGGGGGAACAUCCCAGCUAACACAUUGUACGGCUGGUGGCUUCUCGUCCGCAGGCUGAUUAUCUCGCUGCUGCCUUCCCGUUGGAUUACCCGGUUUGGAUUACCUCUUCUGUCAGCUCUAUUACGGUUUUGCUAUUUCCCCUUGGAUGACGUUCGCGCCUCGCCUGACCCUGCCUGUCUGAUACCGAGUUCUCUUCACUCCCACGGAUCCUGUUGGCACCUCGAUUACCUUCGCCUGUUUAAACUCCGAUUCUGGCUCACUCCCGUUUACCUUUGGCCUAUUAAGGCA